ensembl:lncRNA
CAGCUCUGACUUGAGGCUGUUCAAGAAUCAGCUCCACUUGAUCUGGUUCCACCUCUACCACAGGCAGAGAAACACAGGCCUGGACUCUUUGUUGGCCAGACAAAAUCAGAAACGGAAAUCAUUGGUUUUUACAACUGGGUCCAGUUCUACCUGCAAAGGAUAUAAGACCAGGGAGCAUGAUUUGUGGUGUGGCAGCCAUGGGUUGAGCCAGCCCUGCAAACCCUGUGGAUGGACGAUGCAGUGGACAGUGGGAGGAAGCAUCCUAAAGCUCUCUUUGCAGACCAGCCUGUGUGAUUCUCCACUCGCCGACCAGAAAAGACAAACGGCAGGUCUCAGUUGCAGCACCUCAUCCAUCCAUGUCUGAUCUUGCAUCGGCAGAUUCAGCAACACAGCCAGAGACUUCCUGUAAUCUAUUACAGUUGUUAAAAAAACGGUCCAGGAACAGGUCACUCAGGUUAAUCCUGUAUAAACAACUGUAAAUAUUGUUUUUCCUUCUUUAAAUAUUGUUGGCUUAUUAGAAAUAUUCUUGUUUAAUUGUUGUUCUCCAAAAAGUUGAUUC